rnacentral:misc_RNA from 1 species
GGAGAUUUGCAGGUACUCUUUCUGAAGUAAAUCAAGUGUCCAGAGAGAGUCAACACACACAUAUAAAGCAGAGGAAAUAUAUGCAGAAUUAGCAAGAGUUGAGGGUUGCUGCCCAAAAUGCGCAAGCAGUGGACUGCCUGGAGAAUCUCCAAUUUUAGAAAAACAAUGAUCAUAAAACCAUUCAAAAUGCGAAACGCCAAUUCAGCUUAAGCAAACAGAUUUAUAGUUUUCCA